UCCUUGUGAACUGGCUCGUUGUGAGAUAGGUAUACGGUCGACCACACUAGCAACAAUGCCGUUAGUGAGAGCCUGGAUAUUGGAUGCCAUUGGGCUGGUUUCACUGUAAGCCGAUUUCAUCCAUCCGGCAAACAAUAGCGCACUGUUACCGUAUGAAUUAUCAUUGAGCAACAGUGAAUAACUAGGGCCAGCGAUUAAACUUCCUGUGGUAUAGUCCGUCUUGUCCAUCUUGUAAUACAAUACGUAAUGGUAAAGCGCCCCUCAUUAAAUUAAUUGAAUCUAUCUUUCGAAGCAUAUUAUUGAUAGUCAUUAAAAAAAUUGAAAAAUUCGAGAAAAAAAACCAAAAAAAUGCCUAUUCAAAGUCGUGAAUUACUCCACCAGACACUCCUUUUUAAAAUUUCUCGCCAAUUGAUAUCAAGGAUUACCAAUAUGUGGCGUGUAUGAUCCGCAGAAUUUGAAAAUAUGUGAACAAGUUCAAGGUCUGCAAAAAUAUCUUGAGUUCCAUGUAAUGAUAAUAUAAAGAAAGAGGAGUAUUUCCGUUUAGAUUGGUUUUUUUGUUCUGCUAGUGACAGUGUUAUAGCAAAAAAUUGAGAUAAUCAUGUGAUGAAAUGGAAACGGAAAUGAAAAAACGUCUGAUAUUAUUCUAACAAAAGUCAAAUGUAUUGGAGAGUAGCAUCAAUCGCUCCGGAAAUAGAAGAUCCAAUGUAAAGAAGGUUUUACAACUGUAACACGCGAGGUCAAAUGCUAUCGCUGCUACUACCCUUUCGUGACGACUAGGCAUUUUUCAUGGUCAGUAAAAAGGCUUGAAUAAAAGAAAGAACAAAAAAGAAGUAAAACUCGGAGCCAGUCGGUGCUGACCUUAUUUUUCCUCCGCACAAUCUAUUGGAACGAUUCACCGAAAAAAUCUCAUUUCCGUUCAACCCUCUGUGCCAAUGGGACGAGAAUGAAUGCCCAAGAAAAGAUGUGCAAGUGAAAAUCAAAUAAAAGAAUUCAGUCAAGAACCUACAGUGUGUCCCUCGAAAGGGUGACAACCACAAUAAUGAAAUAAAAAGCAAUUAUAUUAUUAUUCCUAUUAUUUUCAUGUGACAUUUUUCAUCUACGACUGACAAUCAUUGUCAAGGAUUAGCAUUUUAAUUUUUUUUCGUGAUUUUAUCGUAUGGGAAAAAGGUAAUUGUUAUGAUCGGAAAUUUUCUACUCUGAUAUGGUAACUAUCGAUCAAGUUACAUAGAUAUUAUAGGGGAAAACUUGAAGAAAUUGGAGAGAACCUCUCUCGCCACAUGUAAAAAUUCAAUACAAUUCAUCAAUGUACCGAUAUUAUCAUUCAAAUAAACUCAGAAUCUAUUGAAAUAAAAUCAGAAUCAGUAAGGAAUAAAGAAAAUUAUUUUCCUUUU